AUCCUCCUCACCAAAUUACAAGUUAAUUAAGUUUAUCAGCAAGAGCAACAUCUAGCCAAUUAAGACAUUUCCAUGAUGAUGAUGAAGAGCCAAGCAGCUCUCCUCGGCCUCACCACCUUGGCCAUCCUCUUCUUCUCAGGUGCACAUGCAGCUAAAAUCACUUUCACAAACAAA